rnacentral:misc_RNA from 1 species
GUGAAUCAUCGAAUCUUUGAACGCAAAUUGCACUCCCUGGUAUUCCGGGGAGUAUGCCUGUUUGAGGGUCGUUAGAAUAAAAAAUCGAGGUGUCGCUCUUUUUUUGUGGUUGAUCGCGUCGGAAGUGUGCCGUCUUUCUAAUGUUAAUGCAUGUCAAUGUGGCUUGAAAUUUAUUCAUCCGGUACGAUUAAAACGUAUUUAAGAUCAAUUUUGU